GUGUAGUAUAAAUAAUUUUACNUUGAAACUGCGAAUGGCUCAUUAUAUCAGUUAUAGUUUAUUAGAAAUAUUUUACUACUUGGAUAACCGUAGUAAUUCUAGGGCUAAUACAUGAGUAAAACCUCAACUUCGGAAGAGGUGUGUUUAUUAGUAUGAAAACCAUAUAUCUUCGGAUAUAAUAGUGAGUAAUAAUAACCUUUCAUAUCGUAUGUCGUAAGAUAACGAUAGUUCUUUCAAGUUUCUGCCCUAUCAGCUUUCGAUGGUAGUAUAUGGGACUACCAUGGCAGUAACGGGUAACGAAGAAUUUGGGUUCGAUUUCGGAGAGGGAGCCUGAGAGAUGGCUACCACAUCCAAGGAAGGCAGCAGGCGCGUAAAUUACCCAAUCCUGACAUAGGGAGGUAGUGACAAUAAAUCACAAUGCGGAACUUUUAGUUUUGCAAUUGGAUUGAGAACAAUGUACAAAUGUUAUCGAUAAACAAUUGGAGGGCAAGUCUG
rnacentral:rRNA from 1 species